UACAGAGGUCCCGAGCGUUGUUCGGAUUCACUGGGCGUAAAGGGUGCGUAGGUGGCCUUGCAAGUUUGAUGUGAAAGCCCCGGGCUUAACCCGGGAAUGGCAUUGAAUACUGCGAGGCUGGAGGAUUGGAGGGGGGACUGGAAUUCUCGGUGUAGCAGUGAAAUGCGUAGAUAUCGAGAGGAACACCAGUGGCGAAGGCGAGUCCCUGGACAACACCUGACACUGAGGCACGAAAGCCGGGGGAGCAAACAGG
rnacentral:rRNA from 1 species